AUUGAACGCUGGCGGCAUGCUUUACACAUGCAAGUCGAACGGUAACAGGUUAAGCUGACGAGUGGCGAACGGGUGAGUAAUGCAUCGGAACGUGCCCGAUCGUGGGGGAUAACGCAGCGAAAGCUGCGCUAAUACCGCAUACGAUCUGAGGAUGAAAGCGGGGGACCGUAAGGCCUCGCGCGAUCGGAGCGGCCGAUGUCAGAUUAGGUAGUUGGUGGGGUAAAGGGUCACCAAGCCGACGAUCUGUAGCUGGUCUGAGAGGACGACCAGCCACACUGGGACUGGGACAGGACCCAGACUCCGACGGGAGGCAGCAGGGGGGAAUUUUGGACAAUGGGCGAAAGCCUGAUCCAGCAAUGCCGCGUGCAGGAAGAAGGCCUUCGGGUUGUAAACUGCUUUUGUACGGAGCGAAAAGGCUCUCUCUAAUACAGGGGGCUCAUGACGGUACCGUAAGAAUAAGCACCGGCUAACUACGUGCCAGCCGCCGCCGUAA
rnacentral:rRNA from 1 species